rnacentral:lncRNA from 1 species
UCCCACAUCGUCUUUUCUUCCAACAUCGCGAUUUCCUAACCCAACGACAUUCCUCCGGUGAUUUCCCAACCCUCCAGCGACGUUCCUCCGGUGAUUUCCCAACCCUUCAGCAACGUUUCUCUGGUGAUUUCCCAACCCUCCAGCAACGCAGCGAGGAGUUCCUCCGGUGAAUUCCCAACCCUCCAGCGACGUUUUUCCGGUGAUUUCCCAACCCUCCAGCGACGCGGCGAGGAGUUCCACCGGUGGCAGCAGCAACGUUCCUCUGGUGAGAAUUCGAACAGGUAGCUCAAAUGUUUUGUUAAUUUAUCUAUUUUGGAUCGAGAUUCUUCGAUGCGUUGGAUCAAUGAUUUGGUAUUUUGUCAUUCUUUGUGUUUGAUCUCACGACUAGGGAUGUGGAUUUAAAAUAAAUUAACAGAAAACAUAAAAUAUCGUAUUUUAAUUUGAUUUCAAGACGUGUGAUUUUUUAAAAUUGAAUUAUACUUCUUAAAAUGUUGGUUGACGAUGAACAUUUCUUUUCUGUUUUUCUAUGUUUAAAAAAAUUAUUAUUAUUAUUUGGAGAAUUAGAAUUGUAGAAGGUAGAAGAAAAUGCACAUUAAUACUAGAACAUUGUUUUUUACGAUUUGAACUUCUCAUUCAUUCUAGGCUGUAGUAUAUAUUAAAGUACACUUGAUGUUUUUUGGUCCAUAUAUAAUAUAUAUGCAAACAUAUUUUGAAUGUAAACUGUAAAGUAUUCAAAGGGGAAAAAAAUAGUGUCAUUUGAGUCAAAGUAGAUACCGACUUAUUCACAGACUUAUUCACAUUUCCACCGACAAACAAACAUGAAUACAUGAUGUUUCAUGUAAUGUUUGAUUUCAUUAGUAUAAUCUUCAUAUAAAAAAAUCUCAAUUGAAUUGCAUCAAGGUAUUUUUCAAUGAUAGUACAUCAGUUGAAUCGAGUACAGGACAAAAUUCAGAUAAAGUAAACCUUGAUUUUAUUUUAUUUGAAAUAAAAUACUCCAAUCUUGAAAUAUCAUAAGAAGCUUUUCCUCUUUUUAUAUAAAUUUUUCCCUCUUGACCACAUGUAUUUCUUCUGUUUUUCUUUUCUUCUGUUUUUCUCAACUGUGAGAUCUCGUAAGAACUAAUUGAAAUUUAAAUUUCAUGAACUUCUCGUUAUAUAGUAUUUGCUGUUUAAAUUUCUCCGCGAAAAAUUUGUAUCUGAGUAUGCUUCCAUUGUAUGUUAAAAUUUUAAGGAUUGUCGUUUGUAUUCAUCUUCAUUUGUAUGUUGUUGAUAUAUGUUUAUUUGCAGGUUUAAUUUUAUGUUAUAUAUGUUUAAAUUAUCAUUAAAAGUAAAAUGGUAAUGGCAAAAUUUUAAAAAAUUGAAACAAUUAAUUCUAACUGUAAUUUAAUAUAGUUUAUUCCAAACUCACAGGUGUUGGUGUUAAAGAAGGGUUUCUUCCAAAGAUUUAUUCCAAACUCAAAGGUGUAUUUGAAACUUCACAAAAAAAUCGAAGUACGUAAUUUCUGAUUUUAAUUAUCAUUUUAGUUUAUUAAUCUAAUUUUUUUAAAUGCAUUACUUAAUUAUUGUUUAGUUAAUUUUAAUUAUCAUUUUAGUAUAGUAAUUUCAAGCGACGAUGAAGUCGGCGAAAACAGCGAUGGGAUGAGUGUGAAUGAUAACUAUAGUUAGUCGAAUAAUAGUUUAGUAAACUUAUGUGAAAUUUAUGUUUUGGUAAUAUCUUCAUUGAAUGAAAUUAUGUAAAAUGUUUUUAUUAUAUAUUGAAUGAAAUUCUCUAUUUAGGUUGGCUAAAUUAUAAUGGAAUUGAAAUUACAAUAAGGUUAUGGCAAAAUUUAAAUUGUCAUUAAUUAGAAUUAUGUCGUUUACGUACAUUUAAAAACUAAACACGUAUUUUUUAUCUGUUUUGUAG